GUCAGGUAUGGUAGUGCACACCUGUAAUGCAGAUUCCGAGGAAGGCUGAGGCUGGUGGAUUGCUUAAGUUUGGGAAUUCUGAGUUGGGUUAAGUUGAUUGAGUGUCCACACCAAGUUUGGCACCAAUAUGGUGAGCCUUGAGAAGCAGGGGCUGGAGGAGGAGUGCCUGUGGAUGUGGGGACCAGACUGUCUAAGGAGGGGUGAUUCCGCUGAGGUCAGAAUGAAGUCAAAGCUCCUACACCAAUCACUAGUGGCAUUGCAUCCAUGAGUGGCCACUGCAUUUCCAGCCCGGAUGAGACAGAGAGACAUAGUCUCAA
ensembl:misc_RNA Metazoa_SRP Metazoan signal recognition particle RNA